GCAGGGGCUGGAGGGGCCACAUUGUUUGCGCCCCCGGAUUUUGCUGCAUUGUCAUGGUCCGGGAAUGUAGGGGUAGAAGGAAGCACACCUCCAGCCAAAAAUGGACCGGACGCGUUUUUCCCAGCGGCUUCCUCUCUGCCUGUGUGCAGGUCGCAAUACGAAUGUACACAGCAAAUAUGUAUUCAGUGCUGCCAAGCAGGAUGUGACACAGUGGGAUAGGACCAGAUACCUGAAAGCGCCCUUGGGUUAUAUUGAUGUACGUUGAUGGAACCUCACCCCACUAAUGUGCAACCAGAGGCCGGAUCACAGGCACCAUCUAUGAGGCCAAUUGACAUUCUCCUGAGAUUGGAUUAAGCCGGACUCGGACUUUUGCCAUCACCAAUAUCUCUUGCCGAGCAGCUGUGGGCAGAGGAUGGGAGAAGAGGCGCUGAGGUGUACGUAACCGGCAAACAGUGAGCUCCUGCAUCCGGGCCAGGAUCCUGAACUGACCCCAGGUACAGGUUGGCCAGAUGGAUACUGGGUAAAAAUCUGAGGCUACAAGGAUGAAUCCUUAGACUUUGUCCUCGAAGUCUUAAUCAGGGGCAGAAAGAGGAACGCACCUGACCAACCUGAACGCAGUAUUGAUGGUACCAAGGUCAAGAUGGGGAAGCUCAGCAGACAGCCUGGGAGCUGAGGAAUGAAGGCCAGUGGGGCUCUGCCAGGCUUACUGGACCAAGGUGAGUAGGAAGGCAUGGAAACACAUCUGAGUGUGGCACGUGCCGGGAAGACAGGCUGCUGUGUGUGCCUGGUUGUAAGGCACUUGUGGGAAGGGACCAGAGAGAUAAACCUGAGAAGACAGGCAGAACUCUGGAAAUAAAAGGCUUUGGAUGAUGAGCUAAGAAGUCCGGAAUUCAUCCCUAGACAGCAGUGAUUCUCAGCCAUGUCAAAUCCAGUGACCCUUUUUAUAAUAAAUACUGUGUAAUGCCUCCUAUCUAGUGUAUUCCGAAAUGAAAUUUGUAUUACAAUAACUUAACGAAAAGCAUAAUGAAAGAUUACAUAAAAAGGGAAAAUCACUGUAAUGCGCUAGCUAUGACACGAAGGAGACCGUAAAAGGAAAAUGCAUUUUCAAUAUGUAAAUGCCUGAACCUCACUAAAAUAGCAGACAUAAUGCAGUGGCUGGAGGUUUGUACCUAUACGUGGAAUCGCCAAGGACAUGGCAGCUACAAAUAUACAUGAUACAGGGGCGGGUUCUAGUGACUCAAGGACUUCACUGUCAUCAGUGCUGGAUCUUCUGAAAUGUCAAACAACCCGUGGAGGAGUGCUGAACACAAAGUCCAAUGGUCUCUUGAUUUCCUUAGGAUUUUCAGUUCCGGCCAGCAGAAUACAUGAAAUCCAUGCAAGAAUGUUUUGUGUGUCUUUGUAAAUUGUAAUUGGUCCCAAGUCCAAAUACUUAUAUAAACAGCGUUUUCAACUAUAGGAAUGUUUGGUGAGACAUUCAGAAGUCACGCUGCAGGUGGGACUGUUACUUCUCAGAGAGAACACCUCUCUGUGUGUCUGGGGGACCUAGACAUGCCUCUUUGGGGGCCGAGGUGAGUGGCUGUGAAAGUGAGCGGCUGUGAAGACUGUGGCACAACCAGGGGAGCCUCUGAGAGGCACAGGGGUGCCCUAGAGAAAGAGUGAAUUUGAAACCGCAGCCCUGUUCAGAGGAAACUAACUACAGAUUAUAUUGGUUACAUUGGCACCACCAGCCAGGUCAGAGCUCUUCUGCCCUUGCCCUCUCCUCCUCUGUCCUGCUUCAACUCUGGAAAAGUCUAGUGAGUAGGGGGAGGAAUGCAGAAAAGCUGAAGUGUCAGAAAAAUUCAUUAUCCCCUUGGGAAGAGUUAGACCGCUUAAUACCACAUAUAAGAUUAAUUCCAAGAGGAUAAAAAACAUCUAAAAACAAAAAGUAAAACUGUAAAAGAACUAGUUGAAAAUAUUGUUAAAUACUUUUAGAAUCAUGGGUUAGAGAAAGUCUUCAAAAUCGAGAUGUCACAAAAAUGUACAGAGUUGACCACAUGAAGCUUUAAAAUCCCUCUGUGUUGUGAGAUACCCACACCAGAGACAAAUGACAGAGUUGUAGAAACUAAUUGCAAAAUAUAUUACAAAUACAAAUAUCCUGGGGAAAGUGGGUGAUGGGCAUGGAGAAGGGCACCUGUUGGGAUGAGCACUGGGUGUUGUAUGGAAACCAUUCUGACAAUAAAUUAUAUUUAAUAUUAAAAAAAAACAAAUAAAAAUAUCCUGAAAAUAUAAUGAUGGUUUCUGAACAGCAAGGAUAAGAAACAGAAAGCAAUUCCUUAGAAAAAUCUAAGAAAAGUGAAUAGGCAAUUCUCCAAAGGAGAAAUACAGACACAAAAUUUGACAGAGGUAGCACUAGAAACUAAUGGAGAAGAAAAGGUCUCUUUAGUUAGUGUUGUUACGUCAAUUAGUUAUACACACGGAAAAAAGGAAAUUCGAUGGCUAACACGUAUUAUAAGAAAAACUAAUUUCCAAGUGAAUAACUCCUUACAUGAAGAAAAGAAAAUGUUAAAGUACUUAGAAGAAAAUACGAUUUAACACUUAUGUUUUAAUAACCUUGGGGCAGAAGGGGAUUUCCUUAAAACACAAAAACUACUUGAUACAAAGCCAAAAUUUUACAAAUGUGAUUAUAUGCUUUUUAAAUGUUUAUUUUUGAGAAAGAGAGAGAGAGAGAGAGAGAGCAGGGGAGGGGCAGAGAGAGAGGAAAGACA